rnacentral:tRNA from 1 species
GGUUGUGGCUCAGCGGUAGAGCACUUGCCUAGCAUGUGUGAGGCCCUGGGUUCGAUCCUCAGCAUCA